rnacentral:lncRNA from 1 species
AUCAAAUACUUAAAGGGGAAUAUGAUAACUCAUCAUCACACUAUAAUUAAGGAGUAAAAUUAAAUAUAGUGCACAAAAUUUCAUCAUUGAUAUCAAAGAUCAAAAUUAUAUUGGCAUUGAUACAAAAAAUGCAUGCACUCUAACUAAUAAGAUAAAGAACUAUAUUAUAUAUGUCCAUAAUAAUAUAACACAACUACUUUUAGCGAAUUA